rnacentral:rRNA from 1 species
CAGUAGCCACGGUAAUACGGAGGGUGCGAGCGUUAAUCGGAAUAACUGGGCGUAAAGGGCACGCAGGCGGUGACUUAAGUGAGGUGUGAAAGCCCCGGGCUUAACCUGGGAAUUGCAUUUCAUACUGGGUCGCUAGAGUACUUUAGGGAGGGGUAGAAUUCCACGUGUAGCGGUGAAGUGCGUAGAGAUGUGGAGGAAUACCGAGGGCGAAGGCAGCCCCUUGGGAAUGUACUGACGCUCAUGUGCGAAAGCGUGGGGAGCAAACAGGAUUAGAUACCCGCGUAGUCCCUGUCUCUUAUAC